UCCGAGUUGACCCCGGCAGUCUCCUAUGAGUCCCCGGCAUAAUCCGCUGGCAACAUAGGACGAGGGUUGCGCUCGUUGCGGGACUUAACCCAACACCUCACGACACGAGCUGACGACAGCCAUGCACCACCUGUGCACAGGCCCCGAAGGGCUGCCGUGUUUCCACGACAUUCCUGUGCAUGUCAAGCCUAGGUAAGGUUCUUCGCGUUGCGUCGAAUUAAACCACAUGCUCCGCUGCUUGUGCGGGCCCCCGUCAAUUCCUUUGAGUUUUAGCCUUGCGACCGUACUCCCCCGGCGGGGUACUUAAUGCGUUAGCUACGGCACAGGCGGGAUUAAUACCGCCCACACCUAGUGCCCAUCGUUUAGGGCGUGGACUAC
rnacentral:misc_RNA from 1 species